UACAUGCCUGCUGCAGCUCCUAUGCAAGGAACCUACAUUCCCCAGUACUCUGCAGUGCCUGCCUCUGCCAUCACAGUGGAAGGUGUGGUGACAGACCCUUCUUCACAGACAGCUCCCCCCUCCUCACAGGACGCCAGCGGGCAGCAGCCUUUAUCAGUGGAGAACACAGAUCAUGCCACAGCCUACUCUUACCAGCAGAAAUAACAAGAUUGUUGGGAAUCGCUGCUGCAUCGCCUUCAGAAGGACUGCACUGAGGCGCUGGACACACAGAGAGAAUCCAAAUGAAACAGGGACAAAAAAAGAGGUGGCGUGGGCAACACUGAGGGGAGAAGGCUUCCACUGUGCACAUGCACCAAAUAAAAGACAAAAUGAAAAAAAUCUAUUAAAUCUAUUAUAUUUCCUACCUGGUCGAACGAAGAAAGAAAAAAGAAAGGCUGGUUUGCUGAACUCGAGGACAAUGAAAUCAAAUGCAGUCUGCAACUUUGAGUUUAUCAUUUCUCACUGUGGGACUGGACUUUGCCUCCAAAGGAAAAAGAGAAGACAUAAAGUGAAAUCUAAACUCAACCAACAAGCUGUAGAGAAAGAAAAAAAAGAACAUUUGAAUGUGCAGGUAGAUUUUCAGCCUUUUUUAUAAAAAAAAAAGAAGGAAGCAAAGUCUAGGGGAAAAAAACAGUUUGUCUUCCUUUGAUAUUAAGCUACAUUAUUUUUAUUAUUUGAGUAGUUUUCUAGAAUAUCAAUGUUUUCGUAAAUCUUUAUUGCCUUAAUUUUCUCAAACUUUGGGGAAAAAUAGUUUCCAUAGUGUUGAAUUAUUAUAAAAAAUAAUGAUGAUGAUUUGAGAUUUUCUUGGAGAGUUCCAAGAGCGACCGAGAUGAAAUCUACAAAGCUAUUUGUACAGGAUUAAAAAAAAAAAAGGUUGUUAUUGUAUGAAGAUGAUUUUAAAUUAUGUGGUGCAGUGCAGCUGAUGUUGGUUGAUAGGAAAAAAAAUCCUCUUUAAUAUGACUAUUGGGAAGGGUCAAUCCACUGCUUCCUGGAAAAUGCAGUCAAGUUUAAUGGGAUAAAAGUUCUGUUAUUCCAUCACAUUUGUAUCUUUUGAGUUUUGAUUGCAGCCUUUUUACCUUCAAAGACGUUUUUGCUUUGCCUGCUUUGCUUGUCUCACUGCAAAAAAGAAAAGUACAAAAAAAGGAACAAAUCUGACUUUGACAAAAGCAGAAAAAACGCUAGGAUUUUUAAAUGUGCAAAAGCAAUAGUUUUAGUAAAACUGUUGACAGUUUCUUGAGUCUUUCUUAAACGUUGAACAAAAGCAGCCAACAGGUGGCGUAUUUUAUACCAAAGAUGAAGAAACUAGGUAGUGAAGAGAUUUUCCUUGUGUUGCUUUUCCUUCAUUUUUCACCUCCUUAAAACCUGAAACGGACCUGUCUUGCUGUCAUGCUGUUGGCCUUUGAGACAAUUUCAUCAGUCACAUGUUGUGGGUCUGCUAUACAACUGCCUCAACCAGAAGAGUGUGCUCUGAGACGUUUGUUGUUGUCAUGUGAUCAAACGUGGUGAGGAUCCAAAGUGCGUUGGAACAUCUGUGAGAGACCAGACACCCUGUGGCCAUAUGGCAUGGAGAAAGUGGAGGAGGUUGUUAUAAUAUUGGGAAGUUGGUAUAGAACACUUUGGUGGUAAAGAGGUUGACAUCCUGUAGAAUAUUGAUUAAACCUGUACGCCCUACCACGCCUUCUUCAGGCUGCAUUGACUAAUCUUUACUCAAAUGACUCCUAAAUGCUGGUGUAGCUCAUUACAACACUAUUUUUUUAAUCAUUAGACUCAGUUUAUAUGUUUUACUCCAAUGUCUUGCCAAACGCAAGCCUUUUCAAAUGUGAGCAGGGCGAGGAUCUAUCUUAAAGAAAGGGCAUUUCUGUUGAACAAAUCAUUUCAGCUUAUGUACAUUCUAAGAGGAAGAGGAGAGAUAUUUUGUUUUUCUAUUUGUGUUACACUUUUUUUGAGAAUUGAUUACGUGUGAGCUGCUGUUAUUAGGGAUUGAGGUAGUUGUGUGUUGGGUGGGUUCAGAAGAGGGGACGGUGACAGAAUAACAUUUGGAGCCAAGAUAGGGACAGUUUAUUGUUAUCCAUGACUCAACUGUAUUUAAAAAACAUUCUACAAGUCAGGUGCCUCUUUUCAAGUGUGAGAAAAGAUAGGUUCCUUGUUGCAGCCCUAUUAUGAGAUUAGGAAUCUCUUUUUGAAUAAUAAUAAUCUGCAUUAUGUAAUGCGUAAGAGGGCAUCUGUUGAAAACGAAAACACCUCUGGACAUUACCUUGCACCUACUUGAGCCUCCAUCAAUGAAAAGAAGCCAAUGGAGGUGUGGGAACAGACGGACACACAGAAAAUGCACGGUUCAACUCUAUGGGAAAAAUACAUUAUUGAAAGAAGAGAGCAAGUAGAGAAAGUGAGAACAAAAGUAAUAUUUAUGAGAUCUUUUUGUUUGUACAGGUGUGUAAAAGAAGAUGCAACAGAAAUAACUGAUGAUGCUAUUUUUUUAUUUGCUUGAUCACAUGCAUCCCAUGUCUUUCAAAUUGUGAUUCUGAGAGUGUCUGUAGAACCAGUGGAUAUUGCUGUAGUUUCAACUGUCUCUUUUCUUUUUUGUUUCCUUUUUAGACAAAUCUUUCAAUAAAAAAAUGUUUCAAACAGUCAA